GUAGGGAAUAUUGGACAAUGGGGGGAACCCUGAUCCAGCCAUGCCGCGUGGAGGAAGACUGCCCUCUGGGUUGUAAACUCCUUUUAUAUGGGAAGAACCGUCCUCAUUAAUGAGUGACCUGACGGUACCAUAGGAAUAAGCACCGGCUAACUCCGUGCCAGCAGCCGCGGUAAUACGGAGGGUGCAAGCGUUAUCCGGAUUCACUGGGUUUAAAGGGUGCGUAGGCGGAUAAAUAAGUCAGUGGUGAAAUCAACGGGCUCAACCUGUUAACUGCCAUUGAUACUGUGUAUCUUGAAUAUGAGAGAGGUAGGCGGAAUGUUGCAUGUAGCGGUGAAAUGCUUAGAUAUGCUACGGAACACCGAUUGCGAAGGCAGCUUACUAUUUCAUGAUUGACGCUGAGGCACGAAAGCGUGGGUAGCGAACAGGAUUAGAUACCCUGGUAGUCC
rnacentral:rRNA from 1 species